rnacentral:rRNA from 2 species
CACCGCGGUUAUACGAGAGGCCCAAGUUGAUUAAACGCGGCGUAAAGAGUGGUUAUGAAAAUUAAAAAAUAGGGCCGAACAGCCUCAGAGCAGUUAUAAGUAUCCGAGGCCACGAAGCACAAUCACGAAAGUAGCCCUACUAAACUUCUGACCCCACGAAAACCAUAAAA